ensembl:lncRNA
AUGCUAUUAAAAAUUAUAAUUCCUAUGGAUAAGAUUUUGCUACAUGCCUACAAUAUCCUGGACUUGGAGGGCUGUCCAUAUUAUGCUAAUCAAAUUGUCCUCAUUUUAUGCACAUCUACCAUUUGCUUAUUUUUGUCAUCACAAGCAACCACGUGGAAAUACAUUCCAAACCUUCAUUUCAAACAUGUUCUGUGUUUAAUGUAACAAACUGAAAUAAAGUCAUAUCUAAACCAUUGUCCUGAGUUCUCCCUUUUGUUGUAGUAGGCGUCUUGCGGGGGCACGGGAUGUACGGGACAGGCCUCUCCCUAAACAUAGAGAGAUAGUGCUAUCGUGCUGACCUUGUUGCAGAGAAAACAGGAGAAGAAGAAGGAUGAUAAAAGAAUGUGGAAAUGGCCAAAUAAGGCACAAUGUUAUCUGGUGUGAACUAAUCAGAGUGGGACAUGACAGCACGGUUAUCUAGGUAAAAAUGUAUAUAAGCUGUGUUUAGUAGUGAAUAAACGCCAUUUGCCUCACUUACUCCUGGGGUCUGGGUGAGCAUCUGGCCCCGACCUGGUAAAGGGUCGGUUUCGCCCAGCAGUAAGCCCUACAUGUGGACAGAGGACGAACACCGGACGAGCGAACGGAGACUACAUGCAACAAGUGGUGACCCCGACGUGAUCUGUCUGCUGAGGGUGGCUGCCCGGCGUGCCCGUGACGCGGAGAAGAGCCUGUGAGGUGGCGGCAGGUCGCAUACGUAACAAUGGACCAAGUCAUUAAGGUACUUGUGCAGUUUUGUAAGGACUACUGUGGAAAAUCUGCUCCUUCCCGGAAGGAGAUCGCGGCAGUUUUGUCGCUAUUAAAUGAGCUGGGGGAGCUGGACUCUCCCCGCUACGUUUUGGAUUCGAGUAGGUGGGACUUGCUCACCUCGGCGCUAUGCCAGCGCGCCAUGGCCAGUCAGAAGGCUACGGAACUUAAAACGUGGGGACUGAUAUUAGGAGCCCUUAAAGCGGCCAGAGUUGAGGGAAAGGUAUUGGCAGAGGCUCGAUACCUUUUGGGUCUCAGCGGAGGAGGUGAGACACAGGACCCGGUCGGGUCCGAUGGGGGUUCGGGAGCAGUUUCUUGCAGGGGCCGAGAGGAGACGGAGCCGCCAAUGACCGUUGGCGGGAUGGCGCCGGCUGAGCAGACCGCGCUCAGUUCAAAAGAAGACAAACAACAAGAGAGUGAAAGUUCGUUGUCUCGUCCCCCUCCCCCGUAUCCACACCCCUCAGGCGGAACGUUGUAUCCUUUAUCAGAAUUACGUCAGUGUUACCUGACACAAGGGGGCGGAGGAAGCUGUGAUCUACAUGGGCAGGAUCAACUUAGUGCCCACAUGGGGAGGGACCAGACAAAAGGUCCGUCCAAUGCGGACAGGGGGCAUAGCCUACUGUCUCUGGUCUCUCCCAGGGGCGGUAGUGCGAGUGAUAGUGUAGAGGAGAAAGAAGGGACUGGCUUUGAGUGCAGGGGGAGGGAUCAAAUGACGGACUGGAAUGGGAUUAGAUCGGAGGCUUUGGGAAAGGGUAUAGUUCCAGAGGCAUUCCGGGUAAUUGUGAGUGAUCGUGGUCCCGAAUGGGUGCCGCCUGACCCCGGGGGUGUUACGCGCCUGGUGGAAUUUAUGGAUAAAAGAGGCCUGAAAUCGCCUCUGACAUUAAAUGCACUACAAACUUUGGCUGCACUGGGGCCUCUCUUCCCCCGUGACAUCACAAACUUAAUGCGUACGGUGCUCAGGCUGGUUCAAUAUACGUUAUGGGAGACGGACUGGGUGGCCGAGUUGGGGGGCCGUGCCGGGGCGACAGGGGUCGGCCCGCACCGCUCCCUGCAUGGGACCGGAAUACAGCGGCUUUCAGGGAAGGCCGUGGGAGUGGCUUCGCCCCAGGGCCAGCUAGCGAGACUAAGGCCAGGGGAGCUAAUAGCAGCCACAGAUGCAGUGGUGGAAGCGUUUAAUAAACUUGUGCAUAAGGCCGAACCACCUACUCCGUGCACAGAUAUUACCCAGGGCCCGAAUGAAUCCUUUCAAAGCUUUACAGACAGGCUUUUAGCUGCUGCAGAGGGGUCUGAUCUCCUGGUACCGGCCCAAGGGCCAGUGAUCAUUGACUACUUGCAGCAGAAAUCGCAUGACAAUGUUAAGGCAUUGCUGCGAGCCGGCCGAAGUACGCUUAAUACCUCGGGAGCCGGCCGAAGUACGCUUAAUAGCUCGGGAGAAGUUAUUCAGUAUGUCUUAGAUAAGCUCAAGGUGGUUCAUUUAACUAAUGAAAGGCUAGUCACAGCUAUUGUCGUAGCUGUUGGCCCGCGGCAGCAAAGAUCGCUGCAGCAGCAAGGGCUGCGUUUCCGAUACGGCCAGUAUGGCCAUGUUAGAGCACAAUGCCCCUGUGGGGGAGGCCAGUCAGGGCCUCCUGAUCACAGGAAGGGCUUGCUAAAGGGUAUCCGUGGUCGGGUAUGCAGCAGUUAAAUAUCAUGAAUCUGGGAAAUUCUGUGGGUACCAUCGCGAAAAGUAAUACCAGAUAUAAGUAGCAUAUCUGCAAAAACUGAGUCUAGGUGCGAGUUUUCUACAGAAAUUCUUCGUUGGCAGACCGAAGCCAACUCCAGAACAACUGAGGGACAGACGAUGGGAUCAAGAACCACUCGUCAAGAGGAGCACUACACCUGCAACGCUGACACUUCCGAUGUUGCUGAUAUUUAUGGUGUCCAUGGCGAUUACAGAGUGUCACAAACAACUACAAUGGACACAAGAACAUAUGCAGAAAAUUAAAGAAGAGCGUGAUCCCUUUGAAAGCUGGCUGGACGGACUGUUUGGGGGAACGGGUUCAUGGUUAAAGCAAUUGCUUAAAGCUCUCGCAGUAGGAUUUGCAAUCUUUGUGUGUAUUCUAAUCCGUCUUCCAUGCUUUGUAGGAUGCUUGCCUUCAACGAAUGAUGGACAAGACUUUUGACUAUCACAUUGAGUAUCAUAGAUUGCGUGAAAAAUUAUAGAGGGGUUUAGGUUGUUGCGUUCGUGCUGUAACGGGGCAAGGCUUGGCCGAGCACGGAAAAGAAUUCCCUGUUGCUCUGAUGAUUGCUUAAGAACUGUAGUAGAAAAUAGUAGGAAUAGUGUGCUGAAAUAUAUUUAGGAUUAGGCGUUUUGCGCUGCUUCGCGAUGUACGGGUUAGGUGUGUGUGUAAGUAGUAUUUAGCUUAGGGAGGGGGAGAUGUUGUAGUAGGCGUCUUGCGGGGGCACGGGAUGUACGGGACAGGCCUCUCCCUAAACAUAGAGAGAUAGUGCUAUCGUGCUGACCUUGUUGCAGAGAAAACAGGAGAAGAAGAAGGAUGAUAAAAGAAUGUGGAAACGGCCAAAUAAGGCACAAUGUUAUCUGGUGUGAACUAAUCAGAGUGGGACAUGACAGCACGGUUAUCUAGGUAAAAUGUAUAUAAGCUGUGUUUAGUAGUGAAUAAACGCCAUUUGCCUCACUUACUCCUGGGGUCUGGGUGAGCAUCUGGCCCCGACCUGGUAAAGGGUCGGUUUCGCCCAGCAGUAAGCCCUACAUGUGGACAGAGGACGAACACCGGACGAGCGAACGGAGACUACAUGCAACACCUUUUUAUUCAACUACCCCCCUCUCCUAAUCUCUGCACGCUUUGGAGAUUUUGUAGCUCAGAAUUCUGAAAUAUCCAUACAACAUUUGUUCUAUGUAAUUAAGAAUAUGUAGAAUGCUAAAAAUACACUAAAAUCAUAUUAACAUAUAGGAAUUCAUUGUACCUUUUGAAUACCUUUCCGCAACUGUAGACUUUGAUAUAAUGUUCCACCUACAUGUAUUGCUAAUAAAUAUACAUUCAGAGAGGAGCAAAUGCACAGUGAUUUAUGAGUCACUGAUAGAAGUAAAAUCCAACACAUUUAUAGUAAUGUAUGUCUUGUUUUGCUUCAUGGGAAAUAGCUGCUUUACAUAUUAAUUAUUUUCAUUUAUAAAGUUAAAACCCAUUUUUUUUUCUCUUUUUCUUUUUUUUCUGCAUGUCAAGCUCUUAAAACCAUGUGAGUGCUGCUUUGAAAGUGAUUCUCCUAUUUUAUUAUGUUUGCUCAUAAUGUCAGAGGUGGAUAUUGGUGAUAUGUCAGUGAAGAGGCUAAACCUUACCACCAAUAUUCUGUUACAUUUUGUUGCUGUGUGACAAGUGGCAGCAGAGGGGAAGUCUGACAAAAGUGGUGUCUGACACAGUGGUGCAUAUGAGGCAAAGGUGUGUCACUGAAUUCCUCCAUGUGGAAAAAAUGACAUCCACUGACAUUAAUCAAUGACUGUUGAGACCAAAACAGUGCAUGUGAGAGCUGAAGCAGAUGGUGCCAUGGUUGCAGUAAUGUGAAAGACAAACCAUGUUCCACACAGCAAUGCACAGUUGUCACAUCAAAAGAUGAAGAGCAAAUUGCCUAAUGAUGGUGACUAUGUUGAAAAAUAGUGUUUUGUAGUUGAGAAUUUCCUCUAUAAUAUCAUGUAAUUAUGCUCUUUGAAUCUGUUGCAGUUUUCAUGGAAAUAAAUAGGAGCUAUUACAUUCUGAAUGACUUAUGUAAGUUAAAAUACAUUAAGUAAACCACUCCCUCACAGGUUUAAUCCAGACAGUGACUAAGAAGUAGUUACUCUAAUUCUCUAUUAUUCUGUAGGAUAAUACAUACAAAUUAUACUGUUCUAUGCCCUAAUUUAUCAGUAUAGUAAAAUGACCAGCAUUCUUCAGAAUGUCUGUGGCAGGAUUUCUUUGAUUCCAACAAUGUAUGAGGACAAGUCCAUAGCUACAGAAAUCCAUCUAGAAAUCAUUCAUUUGUGGUGAUUGAUCUUGAUAUAUGAACUCUAU